UUGUGACCACAGCAUGUUGAAACACUAGUUCUUGUAUGAUCACAGAGGUUAAGCAAUGUUGAGCUGGGUCGGUACUUAGAUGGGUGACUGUUUGGGAAUACCAGGUGCUGAA